GACGAACGCUGACGGCGUGCCUAAUACAUGCAAGUAGAACGCUGAAGAGAGGAGCUUGCUCUUCUUGGAUGAGUUGCGAACGGGUGAGUAACGCGUAGGUAACCUGCCUUGUAGCGGGGGAUAACUAUUGGAAACGAUAGCUAAUACCGCAUAACAAUGGAUGACACAUGUCAUUUAUUUGAAAGGGGCAAUUGCUCCACUACAAGAUGGACCUGCGUUGUAUUAGCUAGUAGGUGAGGUAACGGCUCACCUAGGCGACGAUACAUAGCCGACCUGAGAGGGUGAUCGGCCACACUGGGACUGAGACACGGCCCAGACUCCUACGGGAGGCAGCAGUAGGGAAUCUUCGGCAAUGGGGGCAACCCUGACCGAGCAACGCCGCGUGAGUGAAGAAGGGUUUCGGAUCGUAAAGCUCUGUUGUAAGUCAAGAACGAGUGUGAGAGUGGAAAGUUCACACUGUGACGGUAGCUUACCAGAAAGGGACGGCUAACUACGUG
rnacentral:rRNA from 1 species